rnacentral:rRNA from 1 species
GAUGAACGCUGGCGUCGUGCCUAAUACAUGCAAGUCGAGCGAACGGACGAGAAGCUUGCUUCUCUGAUGUUAGCGGCGGACGGGUGAGUAACACGUGGAUAACCUACCUAUAAGACUGGGAUAACUUCGGGAAACCGGAGCUAAUACCGGAUGAUAUUUUGAACCGCAUGGUUCAAAAGUGAAAGACGGUCUUGCUGUCACUUAUAGAUGGAUCCGCGCUACAUUAGCUAGUUGGUAAGGUAACGGCUUACCAAGGCAACGAUGCAUAGCCGACCUGAGAGGGUGAUCGGCCACACUGGAACUGAGACACGGUCCAGACUCCUACGGGAGGCAGCAGUAGGGAAUCUUCCGCAAUGGGCGAAAGCCUGACGGAGCAACGCCGCGUGAGUGAUGAAGGUCUUCGGAUCGUAAAACUCUGUUAUUAGGGAAGAACAUAUGUGUAAGUAACUGUGCACAUCUUGACGGUACCUAAUCAGAAAGCCACGGCUAACUACGUG